GACGAACGCUGGCGGCGUGCUUAACACAUGCCAGUCGAACGGAAAGGCCCUGCUUUUGUGGGGUGCUCGAGUGGCGAACGGGUGAGUAACACGUGAGUAACCUGCCCUUGACUUUGGGAUAACUUCAGGAAACUGGGGCUAAUACCGGAUAGGAGCUCCUGCUGCAUGGUGGGGGUUGGAAAGUUUCGGCGGUUGGGGAUGGACUCGCGGCUUAUCAGCUUGUUGGUGGGGUAGUGGCUUACCAAGGCUUGACGGGUAGCCGGCCUGAGAGGGUGGCCGGCCACAUUGGGACUGAGAUACGGCCCAGAAUCCUACGGGAGGCAGCAGUGGGGAAUAUUGCACAAUGGGCGGAAGCCUGAUGCAGCAACGCCGCGUGCGGGAUGACGGCCUUCGGGUUGUAAACCGCUUUCGCCUGUGACGAAGCGUGAGUGACGGUAAUGGGUAAAGAAGCACCGGCUAACUACGUG
rnacentral:rRNA from 1 species